rnacentral:rRNA from 1 species
GACGAACGCUGGCGGCGUGCUUAACACAUGCAAGUCGAACGGAAAGGCCCUGCUUUUGUGGGGUGCUCGAGUGGCGAACGGGUGAGUAACACGUGAGUAACCUGCCCUUGACUUUGGGAUAACUUCAGGAAACUGGGGCUAAUACCGGAUAGGAGCUCCUGCUGCAUGGUGGGGGUUGGAAAGUUUCGGCGGUUGGGGAUGGACUCGCGGCUUAUCAGCUUGUUGGUGGGGUAGUGGCUUACCAAGGCUUUGACGGGUAGCCGGCCUGAGAGGGUGACCGGCCAUAUUGGGACUGAGAUACGGCCCAGACUCCUACGGGAGGCAGCAGUGGGGAAUAUUGCACAAUGGGCGGAAGCCUGAGGCAGCAACGCCGCGUGCGGGAUGACGGCCUUCGGGUUGUAAACCGCUUUCGCCUGUGACGAAGCGUGAGUGACGGUAAUGGGUAAAGAAGCACCGGCUAACUACGUG